rnacentral:rRNA from 1 species
GACGAACGCUGGCGGCGUGCUUAACACAUGCAAGUCGAACGAAGUGGCGAACGGGUGAGUAACGCGUAAUCAACCUGCCCUUCAGAGGGGGACAACAGUUGGAAACGACUGCUAAUCCCGCAUACUGACGGAGGGGUUUGCAUCUGAUUAGCUAGUUGGAGGGGUAACGGCCCACCAAGGCGAUGAUCAGUAGCCGGUCUGGGAGGAUGAAAGGCCACAUUGGGACUGAGACACGGCCCAGGCUCCUACGGGAGGCAGCAGUGGGGAAUCUUCCGCAAUGGACGAAAGUCUGACGUGGCAACGCCGCGUGAGUGAGGACGGCCUUCGGGUUGUAAAGCUCUGUUAAUCGGGACGCGGUACCGGAAUAGAAAGCCACGGCUAACUACGUGCCAGCAGCCGCGGUAAUAC